AUGAACUUGGAUCAGGAUGUCUGUAUAAUUUAAUAAUAUCCUUGUCUUGACUAACUGUGAAAUCUUUUAAUCGUUGAAGGUACAAAUUGAUGGUUGUGUUUCUUUAUGAUUGGCUAUUUCCACUCCUGCAAGUCGCAAUGAAGUGAUAGCGGUGCUGCUUUAAUUUGAUUUUGUUGGUGUUUGUGAGCCUAAGCCGAACUUAGCAUGAUAGGAUUGGUGGGCCUGGACCUUCAUUUCUCACGGGAUAUUUUUUAUCAAUGUCGGGCAGUGAGUGAAAUCUCUCUCUCUUUUUUUUUAAUCUUAAUAUGUUGGUUUAUGAUGGGAAGGCAAGUGGAUUUUGUUAGUGUUCCACUCACACAAGUAAAUUAUUAUCUUUAGAAGGUCCAAUAGAAUAAACUAGAAGACAUUUCCCAUGGUUUAUCAAUUUUCAUGAGUUGGAUUAAAUCUAUUUUUAUUAUUAAACCAAUUGUGGAAUGGAUUCACAAAUGAAGAAAAAGAUAAAUAAAUGUGAAAUUUGGGAUCCACAAGCUUAAUUAAUAACCAGAAUUUCUGCAUCUCAUCAGACUGAAAACUCGCUUUCCUGCAAGAAAGGAUAGAAGCAGCUGCAAUUGCUGCCACAACUUUGUGAAUAUGGACGUAGCCAUAUGGGUGGUACAAUUGUUUUUCUUGUUCAGUUUGGAUCAUCACACUCGUCAACACCAUAAUUAAAAGGUUGAUUUGCUUAAUAAAAAAGAUAAACUUGCUAUUCCUGUCCUUUUAUUAUACUUAAUAAAAUCUUUUGCUUAUUUAAAAAAAAAAA
rnacentral:misc_RNA from 1 species